rfam:Triticum aestivum genome assembly, contig: Triticum_aestivum_CS42_TGACv1_scaffold_049398_1BS
UUAAUACUACCUCCGUCCGGACAAGCUUGUCCCAAGCUUGUCUCUCAAAUGGAUGAAUCUAGCACUAAUUUGGUGAUAGGUACAUCCAUUUGAGGGACAAGCUUUUUCGGACGGAGGGAGUAUGAU